rnacentral:rRNA from 1 species
GACGAACGCUGGCGGCGUGCCUAACACAUGCAAGUCGAGCGAGGGACUUCGGUCCCUAGCGGCGGACGGGUGAGUAACAUGUGGGUAACCUGCCCCAUAGAGGGGGAUAGCCUCCCGAAAGGGAGAUUAAUACCGCAUAACAUUAUGCUAUCGCAUGGGAAUAUAAUCAAAGGAGCAAUCCGCUACAGGAUGGGCCCGCGUCGCAUUAGUUGGUUGGUGGGGUAAUGGCCUACCAAGACGACGAUGCGUAGCCGACCUGAGAGGGUGAUCGGCCACAUUGGGACUGAGACACGGCCCAGACUCCUACGGGAGGCAGCAGUGGGGAAUAUUGCACAAUGGAGGAAACUCUGAUGCAGCAACGCCGCGUGAGCGAUGAAGGUCUUCGGAUCGUAAAGCUCUGUCUUUAGGGAUGAUAAUGACAGUACCUAAGGAGGAAGCCACGGCUAACUACGUGCCAGCCGCCGCAGUAA